rnacentral:lncRNA from 10 species
ACUAGCAAAGAGAAGCCCGAAGAGGCUGAAGUUUCCACGGAGGGCACCGUCGGGGAGACGCAGCCCGGGAGGACGGGAGGGUUGGGCUCGCUACCUCUGCACACGGGCGAGCCGGGGCUCCGUCUCUCAGCAUGUGACACCUUCUGCCAUGAGAUGAUGCUACAAGAAGAACCUCACCGACUGCUGGCACCUUGAUACUGGACUUCACAGCCUCCAGAAUUGUGAGCCAAUAAUCCACUUUAAAGCAAGAAAACAAGAUAAUUCAAGGGAAAAAUGUAUGACUCUAAAUUUGGAAACCAGACAGGAUCUGCUAAUACGGGGCAGAAUGUUAAAAAGAGGAUGAAUUUUGAUUUCAGAAAAUUUAGAAGAAAAUGGAUUUCUCAGGCAACUGAAAGAACAUAUUUGGAUCUGUUAAGAUGAAAGGAGACUUCAAGAGAACUGGACUUUGUGUUGGACAGGCUGUCUGUGACAGGGAAAAAACCCCUUCUGAAUGAUUAGGGAUGAAUCAGUUAACUUGCUUGAGUUUCACAUUCUUCAUCUGUAAAAUCUGGUGAUUAGACUGGCCCAGCAAAAGAUAUAAUGGGCAAAAGAUAUAAUACACAUAAAUUGGAAUGAAUCUGCAUUUUCCAAGCCUGAUGACUUUAUUAAAACUGAAUUAAGUCACUAACUGGCAGCCUGAAGAUGAAAGGAAAGAACUCAGUCAUGCUUCUUAAGGUAAAAGGGCAGUCUAACUGAGAAUUUUGUUAUCUCUGAGGACAAAUUACAAGGAGAUAAAGACACUCAAGAUCACAUGGAAGGCUUCUGCUCCCACUUAGAGACUGCAAUGUAAGCGACGGAGACAAAGAAGAUUUUCCUGAGCAGUGUCAGUAACAAAGAAAUGAAGCAAAUUAUUAAGAAACUGAUGGGCAUUCAUUGAAGAGCAACAAAUAUGAUUCAUAAGUCUGAAGGGACAGCCUUCAGAGAGAAGAUGAAAGAGACAAGUCUCUCAGCAUGACCAUGUGGCUCUAACGGGACUGGCUCAUGGGCAACAAGUACUUGAAGGGUGUAAAUAGUGGGGACAGAGAGAAAUUAUUUAGUGUGCAAGGGGACAGCAGGAGGAGUGAUGGUAAAUGAAAGUCAAAACAAAGAUGAUUUAGGCAGCUGAACGAGUCACAGGCCCUAAUGGAGAGAUCUAUUAUAGGCUGUACAGCCUUGGGAAGGGUGGAAACCCCAUCACUUGUGCCAUUUACAGUUGGAAAAGCCAUUAAAAAGUAGAUCAGCCUGUUGGAGAGGGAAAAAACACCGCAGGUCCUCAGAGAAUCAGUGG